rnacentral:rRNA from 1 species
UACGUAGGGUGCGAGCGUUGUCCGGAAUUAUUGGGCGUAAAGAGCUCGUAGGCGGUCUGUCGCGUCGAUCGUGAAAACUUGGGGCUUAACCCUGAGCUUGCGGUCGAUACGGGCAUGACUGGAGUUCGGCAGGGGAGACUGGAAUUCCUGGUGUAGCGGUGAAAUGCGCAGAUAUCAGGAGGAACGCCGGAGGCGAAAGCGAGUGACUGGCGCGUUCCUGACGCUGAGGUGCGAAAGCUAGGGGAGCAAACAGG